UCUCUCUCUCUCUCUCUCUCUCUCUCUCUCUCUCUCUCUCUCUCUCUCUCUCUCUCUCUCUCUCUCUCUCUCUCCCUCUCUCUCUCUCUCUCUCUCUCAUAUAAUAUAUAUAUAUAUAUAUUACUUCCAGUGCUGUAGAACUGUAGAUAUAACCCAAGACAUACUACUGUUAGAGUGCGGAGUGUACUGUUUGUAUAUACAUAUGAUUGUAGGUUACUGGUGAUACUACUGUUAGAGUGCGGAGUGUACUGUUUGUAUAUACAUAUGAUUGUAGUGUACUGGUGAUGUUAGAUGUAUUUACAAUGAUCACUUGGAGGAACACAACAUUAAGCUAUGCAGAUAUAUUAUACAAUAAUAAAUAAUGCUUAACAUG